rnacentral:rRNA from 1 species
GAUGAACGCUGGCGGCGUGCCUAAUACAUGCAAGUCGAGCGAACGGACGAGAAGCUUUCUUCUCUGAUGUUAGCGGCGGACGGGUGAGUAACACGUGGAUAACCUACCUAUAAGACUGGGAUAACUUCGGGAAACCGUAGCUAAUACCGGAUAAUAUUUUGAACCGCAUGGUUCAAAAGUGAAAGACGGUCUUCCUGUCACUUAUAGAUGGAUCCGCGCUGCAUUAGCUAGUUGGUAAGGUAACGGCUUACCAAGGCAACGAUGCAUAGCCGACCUGAGAGGGUGAUCGGCCACACUGGAACUGAGACACGGUCCAGACUCCUACGGGAGGCAGCAGUAGGGAAUCUUCCGCAAUGGGCGAAAGCCUGACGGAGCAACGCCGCGUGAGUGAUGAAGGUCUUCGGAUCGUAAAACUCUGUUAUUAGGGAAGAACAUAUGUGUAAGUAACUGUGCACAUCUUGACGGUACCUAAUCAGAAAGCCACGGCUAACUACGUG